UAAAUAAACUUUUGCUUGUAUUUGAGUCUUCACUCUGAAUUCUUUCUUAGCCAGAACUCAAGUACUGAGGUUUUGGGCGG